UUGUUUUGACAUGGCCUAAUACCUCUCUUAAACUUGGCCAGGUUUGGGUUCAGCAGCCCCAUUCAAGCCAGGCACGGACAGAGUGGCCCUGUCUGCGUUCUUCUGUGAGAGGAUUGUUUCUGGCAUGUCUCAAAGAGCUUGAGACAUAGAUCAAGACCAGUCUGACAUCCCUCUGGCCUGUCUAUCUCCUGUCAGUUUUCUUGCAACUGUUACUGUGUUUACGUGGGCAUUUGGGGGAAGGGAAUUAAGCAAGUCCUGCUCGCCUUUUUCCCACAAACCUGUGCUAACUGAAUGCUAAUUUUUCGAUAAACCCUACUGGGUCUAGGGGAAAUCUUUAUGAAAUGACUGUCUGACAAGAUGAUCUUAUAAGGUCUCCUAAUGUGCGUAGGAAGAGCAUUGGGUUUAGCAGUCAUUGUCUGCACUGUCAAACUUUGAAGUAGGGAAGGUAAACUUGAGACACCCUUCAAAAUGAGUCACACUAAUUGAAUAACAGUGGCUUAAAACUCUUUUUGUCUCUCUCCCUUUCUCUUUUAUUAAUGGCAGACAGAUCAUAUCUGAAAGAAGCACACUCAUCCAGGUUUAACCGUGGCCCGUCAUUCUGCUGAAGGUGACAAACCACAUAGGAAUCCUGAUGCCUUUCCAGUGUGAACCUGUAGUUUUUAAUUCCUAAAGAAAUCAGGACACGAUGACUGGAUUUUAUCUCAGAUGAUCUGUAUUGAAACAUCACCAAGCGUGUUAACUGCCAUGCUGUGGACCCGACAGCUGAUCCUAUCAAAUUACAACGGGAUGCUGAGUCAGUUUCUGAGUGUGAGCAAGUUAUUUGUAUUGCACCAGUCCACAAGCUGUCUCACCUCCUCCCUAUAGGCCUGUUCGUUGUCAUCCUGAAUGAGGCCCACCACUGUCGUUUCAUCCGCAUACUUCACAACAUGGUUUGUACUGUACCUGGCACGGCAGUCAUGGGUCAUCUUAGUGAAUAGUAAUGGGCUUAGGACGCAGCCCUGAGGGGAGCCAUUGCUCAGAGAGAUGAUACUGGAGGUGUGAUUUCCAACCUUCACAAACUGAGGUCUGUCUGUUAAAAAGUCCAGUAGCCAGUUACACAAGGGGUUACCAAGGCCCAAAGGUCCCAGUUUGCUUACCAAAUACUGGGGGAUAAACGUAUUGAAUGCCAAGCUAAAAUCCACAAAUAGCAUUCGCACGUGAGUGUUUUUCUCCUCCAGAUGGGCCAGGCUCAGAUGGA